GUAGGAGUAUAUUUUAAAUUCACAUAUUUAGCAUGUUACAAAACCCACAUCACACUGAUUUCCUAAUUCCAUUAUUCAUUUAUUUGUGUAGGGUCGGUGAACAUAAAAUUGUUAUAUGGCGUAUAUUUUUUUAAAGUAAUGAUUUAAAUAUUAUUUUUGUUAUUAAUUAUUCACCCUAUUUCAAUUCACGAGUUCAAUUCGUCGAAUCCGUUCUAUAAAUCCAUUUAUUUAUAUUUGGCGCGACGUCUGAUUUCUGAUGCUGGGAAGAAGGAACGCGUCAAUUCAACCCCACCCGACUCCGGAUGCUGAAAUGGAGCGGGCAAUCCACCCGAGUCUUCAACAAAUAGUCGAUUUGAAGGUAUUCAUUUUGCUGAUCAAUUCAUGGCUUCUUAUCGGAGAAAAAGAGCGAUUGAAGGAAUUAUUAGUGGAGAGGCUUGUGGAAUGUGGCUGGAAAGAUGAGAUGAAAGCCCUCUGCAGGGAGUUUGCAAGGAAGAAGGGAAGGGAUACUAUAACUGUUCAUGAACUUGUCAAAGUCAUAACUCCGAAAGGAAGAGCUUUUGUACCUGAUUCAGUGAAAGCAGAAAUGCUACAGCGAAUUCGCUCAUUUCUGACAUCAACAACUACUUGAUGUGGAAGAAACUUGUACAAGCAAGAGUUGUGCACUCGUAGGGGAAACACACAUUAUGUCCUCUGGAGUUGGAGGAACACGUUGGGAUGAGCAGCCAAUAGAAAUACCAUGGAGGAUAAAUGGCUCUUAUUGAUCGCUGGAUAGAAGUUGACAUUCUCCAAUAUAAUGUCGUGAUCACCAACGUACGCAUCAUGUCGUGCAUGAUCUACAUCGACCCAUGACAAGAGCAAUGUCCCGAAGACAACACGAGGCGAUCUUAGCGCUCCUAGAGAAGUUGUUCUUGGAGGAGGAAACGCGGGGUCCGGGUGAAAAGAAGCUGAAGAACAUGAUCGGGAUUAAAAAGGAUUCGGGGAAGGGCGGUGAAGGAAGGGCCGAACAUAGUUGGUGAACCGCUGGCUUCAUUCCCUGACGAACCUAGCGACUCGCCAGGCAUGCCAAGAAACUUGACAGAUCGCGCGAGUCGCCAGCUUCGUGCCUUAACGAAGACGGAAAUUUUG